CUACUUAGUCAGCAGGAAAAAAAACACUCUUGGCACACUCAGGUGACCAGAGGUGUAAGACUAUCUGCUUACUGUGGUGAAAAAUCGCCAGCCAGCAAUGCUAUUUUCUGUGGUGCUAUGCAUUUUUUGAAAUGGUGCUUUCUUUGGAAAAAGAAGAAUAAAGUCAAAAAACAUGACAUGCCUCUUAUGAAAAAAGAAUUGAUGGUUUGCAGUUAAAUAUGACCAAAAGAAAAUAUCAAAAUAAAUGUAGCAGCAUAUUGUUUCCUCUCUACAUGCAACAUUAAAUGUUUCAUUUCUGUGCUUCAUAAUAAAUGAAACCGCUCAUUCA